rnacentral:rRNA from 1 species
AUUGAACGCUGGCGGCAGGCUUAACACAUGCAAGUCGAGCGGAGAGAGGUAGCUUGCUACUGAUCUUAGCGGCGGACGGGUGAGUAAUGCUUAGGAAUCUGCCUAUUAGUGGGGGACAACAUUUCGAAAGGAAUGCUAAUACCGCAUACGUCCUACGGGAGAAAGCAGGGGAUCUUCGGACCUUGCGCUAAUAGAUGAGCCUAAGUCGGAUUAGCUAGUUGGGGGGGUAAAGGCCUACCAAGGCGACGAUCUGUAGCGGGUCUGAGAGGAUGGUCCGCCACACUGGGACUGAGACACGGCCCAGACUCCUACGGGCGGCAGCAGUGGGGAAUAUUGGACAAUGGGCGGAAGCCUGAUCCAGCCAUGCCGCGUGUGUGAAGAAGGCCUUAUGGUUGUAAAGCACUUUAAGCGAGGAGGAGGCUACUUUAGUUAAUACCUAGAGAUAGUGGACGUUACUCGCAGAAUAAGCACCGGCUAACUCUGUGCCAGCCGCCGCCGUAAGAC